AUUGGACGCUGGCGGCAGGCCUAACACAUGCAAGUCGAGCGGUAGCACAGAGAGCUUGCUCUCGGGUGACGAGCGGCGGACGGGUGAGUAAUGUCUGGGAAACUGCCUGAUGGAGGGGGAUAACUACUGGAAACGGUAGCUAAUACCGCAUAACGUCGCAAGACCAAAGUGGGGGACCUUCGGGCCUCAUGCCAUCAGAUGUGCCCAGAUGGGAUUAGCUAGUAGGUGGGGUAACGGCUCACCUAGGCGACGAUCCCUAGCUGGUCUGAGAGGAUGACCAGCCACACUGGACCUGGGACACGGUCCAGACUCCUACGGGAGGCAGCAGUGGGGAAUAUUGCACAAUGGGCGCAAGCCUGAUGCAGCCAUGCCGCGUGUGUGAAGAAGGCCUUCGGGUUGUAAAGUACUUUCAGCGGGGAGGAAGGCGGUGAGGUUAAUAACCUCACCGAUUGACGUUACCCGCAGAAGAAGCACCGGCUAACUCCGUGCCAGCCGCCGCCGUAACAC
rnacentral:rRNA from 1 species